GCCCCCGUAGCGCAAUGGUAGCGCGUAAGACUGUAUGUUGCGCAUUCCAACAAUUCGUCCUCCAGACUCCAAAACUAACAACACUCAACAGUCUACUUUCCCAAGUGAUCUUAAGGUUGCGAGUUCGAGCCUCGCCGGGGGCU